CAGGAGACCCAGGCUAUGGGAGAUUAGGGGCUGUGUGUUGAGCAUAUUUGAGAUGCUGAUCUAACCUCCAGGUAGAGAUGCCAACUAAGCAGGUGGAAAUAUGAAUCUAGAGUUGAGAGAUGUACAGACUGGAGGUAAAAUUUUGAGAGACGUCCAUGGUAACUACAGACAUAUUUAGCAGUGUGAGGCUGAAUGAGGUCAUAGGGAAGGACUAUUGAGAGAAAAAGAGGUCUGAGGCCUGAGUCUUGAGGCUUUGCUGUGCUUAAGAUGAGGAGGAACCAGCAGGUUUAGAAGGAGUGACAGGAGCAGAAGGGGAUGAUUCAGUGGACAGCAGAAGACAGGGUUUCAAGGACAAAGAGUGCUUAUUUGUCUGAAUGCUGCUAAGAUCCUAUAAGAGGCCAGUAAGAUGAGUUCAGGUGUAUCUCCCAGCUCACCCAUCCCGUGUUCUCUGUUCUGUGAUGCUGUGGCCUGGCUGUGAGGUUCUGCCAGUAGAGGGAGCUUGAGGCCGACUGGAUGGCUGGAGGAGGAAGGGACUUACUCCCUGAUAUUCCUGCUUGUGGUUCCUGCCAGUGUCACCGUGCAAUGGCUCUUUUCCCUGGUGGUCUUGCAUGGUGCUGCUUCACCUAGAAACACUCUGGCAUGAGGGUGGGGAGAGGACAGAGAGUCCUGAGCAAUCCUCCCAGAAUAUUCCAAAGUCUAGAAAAGACCAGGUCUUCACAAAAGGGACAGGUGGGUUAACAUGAAACCAGGAUGCUUUAUGUUAUGUGGCUAAUUAAUGCUCCACUUAUGGGACACUGUCACUUUCUGCUCUGUGUGGACAUGUCUAAGCAGUCACUGCCCCCCAGGGUAUGUAACCUCUUCAGGUCCAAAACCUGAGAGGGUGAGCCUCAGCCAUACGUGGUUUGUUCUAAGGCCAGCCUAGCCCUGCCUUCUGUCUUUACAUGUCUCCCCUGAGCAGUGAUCUUUUGUGAAUGACCGACAUCUGUCAAGUUUCCUCUUCCAGGGAAAGGCACUUACAGGGUCUCAGCUUUGUGUUACAGGCCCAGCAGGGUACGGUGGGCCAGAAACAAGUGUGCAUGCACUUUGUUCCUUCAUUUACUUCAAUACAUGUGUGCUGAUUUCCUCCAAACCUAAGUGAUGUGUGGAUAAAUAAAAGCCCAUUCUGCUCUCUAGGAGCUAAAAUCUCCAGGGUAGAAGACCUGUACCCAAUAUUCCUCUUGCUACAAAGGAGACUGUGUGACCUUCUAUAAUUGAUAAAAAGGCCUGUGCCAUAAGGGCGGGAGAGAGGCAUUUCCUACUUUGCGCGACAAUGGAUGGUUCCACAACUUAGUUUUUACCUUAGUUUUUAUGUGAAAAUGCGCGUGA